rnacentral:rRNA from 1 species
GAGGAAGUAAAAGUCGUAACAAGGUUUCCGUAGGUGAACCUGCGGAAGGAUCAUUAUUGAAAUAAACCUGAUGAGUUGCUGCUGGUUCUCUAGGGAACAUUUGUGCGCACUUGUCAUCUUUAUAUCUCCACCUGUGCACCUUUUGUAGGCCUAGGAAUUUAUUUUCCCAGGUCUAUGUUUCUUCAUUAUACCCCCCAAUGUAUGUUAUAGAAUGUAAUAAAAUGGGCCUUUGUUGCCUAUAAACCUAUACAACUUUCAGCAACGGAUCUCUUGGCUCUCGCAUCGAUGAAGAACGCAGCGAAAUGCGAUAAGUAAUGUGAAUUGCAGAAUUCAGUGAAUCAUCGAAUCUUUGAACGCACCUUGCGCUCCUUGGUAUUCCGAGGAGCAUGCCUGUUUGAGUGUCAUUAAUAUAUAUCAACCUAGUGUUGGAUGUGGGGGUCAAUUUUUUUGCUGGCUUUUUCUUGUCAGCUCCCCUGAAAUGCAUUAGCAGAACAAUUUCUGGAUCGUUCAUUGGUGUGAUAAUUAUCUACGCUAUUGACGUGAAAGCAGGUUCAGCUUCUAAUAGUCCAUUGACUUGGACAAUUUUUUCAUUAAUGUGACCUCAAAUCAGGUAGGACUACCCGCUGAACUUAAGCAUAUCAAUAAGCGGAGGAAAAGAAACUAACAAGGAUUCCCCUAGUAACUGCGAGUGAAGCGGGAAAAGCUCAAAUUUAAAAUCUGGCAGUCUCUCUGGCUGUCCGAGUUGUAAUCUAGAGAAGCGUUAUCCGCGCUGGACCGUGUACAAGUCUCCUGGAAUGGAGCGUCAUAGAGGGUGAGAAUCCCGUCUUUGACACGGACUGCCAGGGCUUUUGUGAUGCGCUCUCAAAGAGUCGAGUUGUUUGGGAAUGCAGCUCAAAAUGGGUGGUAAAUUCCAUCUAAAGCUAAAUAUUGGCGAGAGACCGAUAGCGAACAAGUACCGUGAGGGAAAGAUGAAAAGAACUUUGGAAAGAGAGUUAAACAGUACGUGAAAUUGCUGAAAGGGAAACGCUUGAAGUCAGUCGCGUUGGCCAGGGAUCAACCUUGCUUUUGCUUGGUGUACUUUCUGGUUGACGGGUCAGCAUCAAUUUUGACUAUUGGAAAAAAGUCAGGGGAAUGUGGCAUCUUAGGAUGUGUUAUAGCCCUUGGUUGUAUACAAUGGUUGGGAUUGAGGAACUCAGCACGCCGCAAGGCCGGGUUUUU